UACGGGGGGGGCAAGCGUUGUUCGGAAUUACUGGGCGUAAAGGGCUCGUAGGUGGCCAACUAAGUCAGACGUGAAAUCCCUCGGCUUAACCGGGGAACUGCGUCUGAUACUGGAUGGCUUGAGUUUGGGAGAGGGACGCGGAAUUCCAGGUGUAGCGGUGAAAUGCGUAGAUAUCUGGAGGAACACCGGUGGCGAAGGCGGCGUCCUGGACCAACACUGACACUGAGGAGCGAAAGCGUGGGGAGCAAACAGG
rnacentral:rRNA from 1 species